rnacentral:rRNA from 1 species
GACGAACGCUGGCGGCGUGCUUAACACAUGCAAGUCGAACGGAAGGGCCCUGCUUUUGUGUUGUGCUCGAGUGGCGAACGGGUGAGUAACACGUGAGUAACCUGCCCUUGACUUUGGUAUAACUUCAGGAAACUGGGGCUAAUACCGUAUAUGAUCUCCUGCUGCAUGGUGGGGGUUGGAAAUUUUCGGCGGUUGGGGAUGGACUCGCGGCUUAUCAGCUUGUGGGUGGGGUAGUGGCUUACCAAGGCUUUGACGGGUAGCCGGCCUGAGAGGGGGACCGGCCAGAUUGGGACUGAGAUAAGGCCCAGACUCAUACGGGAGGCAGCAGUGGGGAAGAUUGUACAAUGGGAGGAAGCCUGAUGCAGUAACGCGGCGUGGGGGAUGACGGCCUGCGGGUUGGAAACCGCUUUCGCCUGUGACGAAGAGUGAGUGACGGUAAUGGGUAAAGAAGCACCGGCUAACUACGUG